GACGAACCGAGCGAACGUUGUUCGGAAUCACUGGGCUUAAAGGGCGCGUAGGCGGGCGGUCAAGUCAGGGGUGAAAGCCUCCAGCUCAACUGGAGAAGUGCCUCUGAUACUGAUCGUCUCGAGGGGGAUAGGGGCGUGCGGAACUUCCGGUGGAGCGGUGAAAUGCGUAGAUAUCGGAAGGAACACCGGUGGCGAAAGCGGCGCGCUGGAUCCCUUCUGACGCUGAGGCGCGAAAGCCAGGGGAGCAAAGCGGG
rnacentral:rRNA from 1 species